GAUAGCACGUUGAGAAGGAGAAGUACGCUGCGCACCCCUUAUUAGAGAGGAUCACCACCGGCUGAAAGUGAUCCAGGUUAAGGCAAAGCUGAAAUGCACCUUUGAGUAUUUAACUGAAUUUGAAGUAGGUUAAAUCGAUUUGUCCACGUUACAGGACUUUAAGCGGAAAAAGUAUGGCUACUUUUUCAACCAGAGUGGAACCGCGCAUCUAGCGUCUCUGUC
rnacentral:ncRNA from 1 species